rnacentral:rRNA from 1 species
UGGGGAAUAUUGCGCAAUGGGCGAAAGCCUGACGCAGCAACGCCGCGUGUGUGAAGAAGGCUUUCGGGUCGUAAAACACUGUCAGGUGGGAAGAAACCUACCCUUGAGGUAGCUGACGGUACCACCAAAGGAAGCACCGGCUAACUCCGUGCCAGCAGCCGCGGUAAUACGGAGGGUGCAAGCGUAGUUCGGAAUUACUGGGCGUAAAGGGCGCGUAGGCGGCUUGUCGGGUCUGAUGUGAAAGCCCGGGGCUCAACCCCGGAAGUGCAUUGGAAACUGGCAAGCUUGAGUUCGGAAGAGGAGGGCAGAAUUCCCGGUGUAGGGGUGGAAUCCGUAGAUAUCGGGAGGAAAACCAGUGGCGAAGGCGGCCCUCUGGGACGAAACUGACGCUAAGGCGCGAAAGCGUGGGGAGCAAACA